CCUACGGGAGGCUGCAGUGAGGAAUAUUGGUCAAUGGGCGCGAGCCUGAACCAGCCAAGUAGCGUGAAGGAUGACUGCCCUACGGGUUGUAAACUUCUUUUAUAAAGGAAUAAAGUGAGGCACGUGCGCCUUUUUGUAUGUACUUUAUGAAUAAGGAUCGGCUAACUCCGUGCCAGCAGCCGCGGUAAUACGGAGGAUCCGAGCGUUAUCCGGAUUUAUUGGGUUUAAAGGGAGCGUAGAUGGGUUGUUAAGUCAGUUGUGAAAGUUUGCGGCUCAACCGUAAAAUUGCAAUUGAUACUGGCAGCCUUGAGUACAGUUGAGGUAGAGGGAAUUCGUGGUGUAGCGGUGAAAUGCUUAGAUAGCACGAAGAACACCGAUUGCGAAGGCAGCUUACUAAGCUGCCACUGACAUUGAUGCUCGAAAGUGUGGGUAUCAAACGGGAUUAGAUACCCUUGUAGUC
rnacentral:rRNA from 1 species